UCCUCUGUGGCGCAAUUGGCUAGCGCGUCUGACUGUUAAUAAACAGGUAUCAGGAGGUUGGAAGUUCGAGCCUUCCCGGAGGAG